UAGCAUAGACCCUGCUGUCUUUACGUAAUGGUGUUACAUGUAAAUUCUUCCCCAAAUUGGAAAAACUAUCAUUUAGCAUCAAGGCAAGCACUCACACAUUUUUAAAAUGAGCGGAGCUGGGAAAAAGGCUAUCGGGGCACCGUCUGGUGGUGUCGUGGAAUGGAUCAGUACCGCAUGUCGAUUUGCUACAGAUAGAAAUGAUUUCAGAAGGAACCUGAUGGUCAACCUGGGCCUCUUUGCAGCUGGAGUUUGGGUUGCCAGGAAUCUCUCAGAUUUUGACCUGAUGUCCCCUCAACCAAUCACCUAGUGCAAGAACUGGAUGGGCAGGCCAGUAACCUCUCCUCAGAAUUCAUGUUUGAUUACUUUUGGUGUCUCGGACCAAAAUGUCAAUCACAAGGGACAAGAUCUUGGGCUUGUUCGACAGUGCAGGCGACUGCAGACUGAUCUGCAAAGGACCUUGCAUCAUAAAUAACUACUUGUUAUAUUAUUUGUAGGUCUUGUUAACUUAACGCAAUAAAUAACCAGGUAAAUAA